AUUGAACGCUGGCGGCAGGCCUAACACAUGCAAGUCGAACGAGUGGCGGACGGGUGAGUAAUGGCUGGGAAACUGCCUGAUGGGGGGGGAUAACUACUGGAAAAGGUAGCUAAUACAGACUACCAUCAGAUGUGCCCAGAUGGGAUUAGCUAGUUGGCGGGGUAACGGCUAACAAAGGCGACGAGCCCGAGCUGGUCUGAGAGGAUGACCAGCCAAACUGGAACUUAGACACGGUCCGGACUCCUACGGAAGGCAGCAGUGGGGAAUAUUGCACAAUGGGCGCAAGCCUGAUGCAGCCAUGCCGCUUGUAUGAAGAAGGCCUUCGGGUUGUAAAGUACUUUCAGCGGGGAGGCGUUACCCGCAGAAGAAGCACCGGCUAACUCCGUGCCAGCAGCCGCGGUAAUUC
rnacentral:rRNA from 1 species